AUUGAAUUGAUAAUAAUGUAUUAAUGUUUCAUAUAGGCAACAUGUUCUUCUCCACAUGGACUGAUAUUCUAACACACAUAGAAUUGUUUCCAUGUUUUCCUAAGAACCAAGGAUAGAAUAAAUAGUGAUUUCCCAGAGUCUCAUUGCAACCUUCCUUCCCAUUCAAUUGAGGAUUCGUGUGACACUUGCUUCCCAUUUCAUCAGUACUAGUACGAGUCAACAAUAAGUUCAGAAUUUGCGUGGCUUACAUCGUUGAAUGGUCUGUAUUCUUUUCACCAUCACCAUUGUUUUAUCCAUUUCUUUUCGAACUUGCCUGGCUUACAUCAUUGAACGGGUUGUUGGUGGAUAUGUACUAAUGAAGAAACAAAAGUAACACAAUACACAUGAACCGAUAACAAACUUACACAGGACCUAACAACAAGAACAGGCAUGAACUAACAACGAUAACAAAUUUGCAGGCGGACUGACAACAAGAACACAGAUGAACUUAAAACAAAAAUGUAAAUGGUGACCAACUCAGAGGCAUACUGUAGCACGCAGGAGCGGCAACCAAUUAGUCAACUCAUCAAGGCCACCAAUACGCAGGAGAGCAUGGUGUGGGAAACAAUAAUGGGAGGCUACGUGUGGUCGUGGAUGCAUUGUGGGGGUUGAGCGACAACUGUGGUUGAUGGCAAGCUGGAACGACAAGAACGGGCAGCUUGAGAACAAGUGGGCGGUGCGCGACAUCUCACUUUAGAUGCGCCUGUUGGACUGAUUUCCUUCUCCCAUCUGGACGUAUCAAUUGCAGAACUUUCUAUUAGAAACAUUAAAGAUACAAAAUAGUCGUGUGCUCAAACUUGAAGUAAGAUAUGAUUUCAUGUCCUUAUCCAUUAAUAAAAUCAUACUAUGUACAUUUGUAGAAUACUUGCUCUCAGUACUAGUCAUUCUACUUAGUUAUCCAAAACAGUUGUGAAUGCUACAUCCAUUUUUCUCAAUAAAAUGUAACAUAUAAGUUUGAUACAGACAGAAAUAUGCACCAAAAGAUAUACCCAAAAUUCAAGUUCACAACAUCGGAAGAAACAAAUAAUUUGAUGCCAACCUAAGUGAGCACUGAAAGAUGCAAAGAAGAGGCUUUUUUGAGACAUUGACUUUGGUACAUGUUUUUCUCUACAAAUUGAUAAACCAAGAGCAGUACAGAUGCUCAUUUCUCAUGCUUAACCACAAGCACACGUUUGUUCUAUACGAAGCUGGAAACAUAAAACAGAAAUUGGACUUACAAUGAGGAAGUAGAUGUACUAAAAGUUGAAGCUUUGGAUCCUCAUGACGAACUGGACCAUACUGGAGUUUUGAAUGGUGGUGAAGCUUCACAUCCUUCAUCGUCACUCCUGCCAUGAGCCAAAAUCACAAACUUCAAAAUUACGAACUUCGUCUACUUUAUUUUUUCUUUCAAAAUUUUGCUUGUUUUCUAAACGUCCAACAAGAAUAAUGUAGAUCCUCCAAUUUCACCCUUUUUGUAACUGCUACAUCUGGUUUUGGCUGCAUCCUGAAAAAAUAAAAAUCUAAGAGAUGAGAUACCAGCAUGUGUAAUGAUUCUUGUGCAGAAUAUGGAAACACAAAGAUGAUCAGACUUUUGAUUGGAAAGUAGAUGAGCUGAAAAGCAUCCAAACUACGAACUGAAAACAUUGAAGCUCUGGAACACCCAACAUGGGGCAACAGUGACUGGCGGGGUAGCACUGGAACCCAGCAGUAGAGACAGCCGCUGCAUCGGCCAUGAGCGGCUCGCCACACACAUCUGCUCCAUGCGUUUGUCUCCUUGCUCGCCAUAGUACACUAGCCGCCUACUCACUGUCACCGGUCGGGCCUUGCACAUACCAGUAACCAAUUAACCACGCACUACAACACACCUAGGACUGUAUCUUUGGCACACUUUGAACUGAUGGGUAAUUUUGUGUAUUUUUAUUACUGCACAUGAAGUUAAAGUAACACCAAAACUAGCAACUCUAUUAGCUUCAUCUUUUAGAAGUGCACAAGAAGGUAGAAGAAGAUUGAAACUAGCAACUGUAAUACUUCAUCUUUAGAAGUUAGGGCACAUGAAGGUAAAAGAAGACUGACGAGCUAGUAAAUGUAACAUUGUAAAAAACUAUGAGAUGCAUAACCACACAACAAAAACUAAGAGCAUGCAUGGAAACUCAAACUAUAUGGUUUUGUAGGUAGCAUAGCAUGGUCGCUCAGACCAAAAUCAAACACAGUGGUCAGCUAUAUGAUGUUUCUAUGACCAUGUUGUACCUACGACAGAGCAAUAACAUCACAUCAUGAGAGAAAGGAUGCAACAUGAACAGUUCAGGAGAUAGAACGGGUAGAGAAGAAGUAAAUAUGUUUUGAGGAGAUGAACUGACCAGGAUUUAAAUGAACUCUCACAAGCAGUAUUUUUUAUACUUCUUAUGUAGUAAUACAUGGACUUGCUGUCAAACAAUUCAGGUAGUUGAACUGGCCACACCGCUGCACCAUGUUGCCCAGCUCCUUCUCGACGGCCUGCUUAUUGUGAUCGCCGACGAGCACCCUGGGCUUCACCAUGAACCUGGUUAAAAGAUAUAUGGGACUGGACCCUGUAGAUUUAAAUGAACUCUCACUAGAAGUAAUUUUUGUACUUCCCAUGUAGUACUACAUGGACUUGCUGUAAAAUGCAUGGACCAUGUAAUAAUUUGGAAGUUAAUUAUAUUAUCAUCUCAAGGAGCUCAAGUUGGACUGAAACUCACUUGAUAACUGAAACUACUAGGGCGAGGGGCAGGAUCCAUGGUGCUGCUAGCAAUGAACGGCCUGGGGUGGUGGCAUUGAAUGGCUUGGAAUGGUGGUUGUGAACGUCAAGGGUGCUCCGGCAGCAGAGCCCCACUGGGAGAUGGCAAUGCAAUCAGAACUUCAGAGACAAUUUUACAAAGUUACAGCUGCAAGCUAGCAAGGAUAUUGUAGAUUUUUGUUUGGCACUAUGGUCAUGGAGUCAAAUAAGAUCAAACAUGCCAGGCAUAUAAAAUUUGUUGUUUGAUGUUACCAUGAGCAGUGGUUACAUAGUAAAUUCAAAAAAAAACAUGGCAGGAACAUCAUGGAUAGCAGUAAAUGGCAAUUCACUUGGAAGCAUCUGGUACAAAAAAUGUACUAGCAACGACAAAUUCAUUUGCAAGCAACCGCUAUAUAUGCGUGAUUCCAAAAUUGUUCCCCAACCUGUUGCAACAUCACUACUUGAACUGGUGUGAGUCCAAACCUAGACGGACGGGACAGGAGGGAGACGGUCGAGCACGAUGAUCACUGAUCAAUUCACAUAGGAACAUGAACAAAGUGCAUACGGUGGAACAUACUGCAAUUUGUGAGGUUCUUCUCAUCCAAGCUUCAAGAAAGAACAAAAUAAAGAUACAAAAUUGGACCAUAUGGCAAAUCAUUUGAGAGAGAGAGAGAGAGAGAGAGAGGUUCCCUGCACCUGGCUUUUUGAUUUUUGAGGUUCUUCUCACUCUGAUUGCUUUUUCAUUUCUUUGCUUCCUCUCAUAGAAUGGCAAAAUGCAGUGUAACCGUAUUAGCUAGGAACUAACACAUAGAAAGAAAGAUCUACUGACCAGGGGGGCUAGCUCAUUCUGGUACUAUUUUACCCGACGCAUAAGCAGAAAAGAAAUUCCAGAGAAAAAAGGUUCAGAAAGAGAUGUGAUAGCUUCUGUGACCCACCUGCGGGAAAGAGGUAGAAGUUCAGAAGCAUAACAACAAGUUCUACUUCAUUCAACAAAAAGAAAAUCCAUUUAUACUCCUGUAUACACCCAACAAGCAUCAAAUUCCAUAUACCUGAACUUUCAUUUAUUGAUAUACUUGAACUUAUUUGCUGUUAAUGUACAUGGACUUUGUAAUUAAACAUAGAAACUGAGAGAGAUAGCAGUCUUUGAACUGAAACAAAAUUAGGAAUUGAAUUGGACUAAAUCAAGAAAUUGAACUGAGUGUGCCAUGAUUUAGUCGAUGUAGAAGAUCAUUCCAUUUUGCUAUCUCUCUCACACACUCAGGUCACCCUGCUGAACCAACAAACAAUAGCAGCACACCAAUGCAAGCAGUAGGGGCUUCAUGCAACAGCAGACAGUAGUAACCAGUACUAGCGCAUUUUCCGAACUCUCCUUUUCUUUUAUCUCUUUUUUCUCAAACUUCCGCCGAUGAACCCUGGACUUAUCUGCUUUUAUAAUUUGAACUUAUAAAAAAUAAUUGAUGUAAAGAAAAGCAGAGGAUAUCCGCAAGUGAUCGUGUGAUUGAAAAGUCUAAAUAACUGGUUAUUAUGUCUCCAACUUUGAGAGCCCGCCCAAGCUGAAUCAUCACUGUACCACUUUUGCUCCAUAGAGCAAAGUGCAAGAAGAAACGUAAAUUCAAGAAUCAUUACACAGCCGCAGUUUUUUCUAUUGGAAUUCAUUGAACUGAAUAAAAUCCUAUAGUGUGUACUGAAAAAAACACUAUAAGGUAUUUAAAUGAACUCUCAUCAGUAGUAUUUUUUGUACUUCUCAUAUAGUAAUUCAUGGACUUGUUGUUAAAUACGUACAUGGACCAUGUAGUAAUCUUGAACUUAAUAAUAAUCUCAUGGACUUGUUCUCUUUCUGCAGUUGAACUGAUGUAGGUCCUUGUGUCAAACUUCUACUUACUAUUCUGAGGUCUUUUAAUGAAAACUUACUGAAGAAAAUAAAGGGUCGAAGGAUGUUUUCUAGUAUGGAAUAUGAAGAGGAGGCAAGCAGCUUCACUAUCAUUUUUUGCCCAUCGUUGUCCUUCGUUGGGUGCAUCCAUGGCCACCGUAAUACAUAAGAGUGAACACCAGUACAAAAUUAGCGAGAACACAAGUACAGAAUUAGCGAGAACACAAGUUCAGUAACAUUGUCAGUUCAGUAACAUAGACAAGCAAACACAGCUGAAUGAUCAUUAGUGCAAACGCACAAGCAGCUGAACCGCGUCACAUCAUUAGCAUACACGAGCAAGACAGUGAAGAACCAUCUCUUUUCCUCUAAAAACAAGCAGAAUAGAACAAGCUGCAGUAUAGAUACAAAAGCAUAUCAGGUAGAGAGAGGAGAGCGGCACGGGGGAGAGGUCAUUUUGCCGUAGUUGUACACAUGAUGGCAAUUUCUAAAAGAUGACCUUCAGUAAGUGGCGAAGAUGAACGGCCGGUGAGCUGGCGGUGGCCAGAGGAAGAACAAGCCAGCGGCAGCCUGGAAGGCCAACGAGCCAUCGGUUUGGAGUAGGUGCGCGCGUGGCAGGCGGCGUGGGGCGGGGCGUGCUGCCGGCGCCUGGAGGAGGACGGAGGCGCGCAUAGGCGGCAUGGGCGGCUGCUGCUGUGGGAUAUAUGAGGUGGUGGUGGAGUGACGCUGGGAUCCAGGGAGGUUGGGGCUCGGGCGGCGNNN
rnacentral:lncRNA from 1 species